rnacentral:rRNA from 1 species
GAUGAACGCUAGCUACAGGCUUAACACAUGCAAGUCGAGGGGAAACGGCAUCGAAAGCUUGCUUUUGAUGGGCGUCGACCGGCGCACGGGUGAGUAACGCGUAUCCAACCUGCCCAUCACUUGGGAAUAACCUUGCGAAAGUAAGACUAAUGCCCAAUGACAUCCCACGAAGGCAUCCGAAUGGGAUUAAAGAUUUAUCGGUGAUGGAUGGGGAUGCGUCUGAUUAGCUUGUUGGCGGGGUGACGGCCCACCAAGGCAACGAUCAGUAGGGGUUCUGAGAGGAAGGUCCCCCACAUGGGAACUGAGACACGGUCCAAACUCCUACGGGAGGCAGCAGUGAGGAAUAUUGGUCAAUGGGCGAGAGCCUGAACCAGCCAAGUAGCGUGCAGGAUGACGGCCCUAUGGGUUGUAAACUGCUUUUAGAAGGGAAUAAAGUGGGUCACGUGUGACUUUUUGCAUGUACCUUAUGAAUAAGGACCGGCUAAUUCCGUG